rnacentral:rRNA from 1 species
GACGAACGCUGGCGGCGUGCCUAAUACAUGCAAGUAGAACGCUGAGGUUUGGUGUUUACACUAGACUGAUGAGUUGCGAACGGGUGAGUAACGCGUAGGUAACCUGCCUCAUAGCGGGGGAUAACUAUUGGAAACGAUAGCUAAUACCGCGUAAGAGUAAUUAACACAUGUUAGUUAUUUAAAAGGAGCAAUUGCUUCACUGUGAGAUGGACCUGCGUUGUAUUAGCUAGUUGGUGAGGUAAAGGCUCACCAAGGCGACGAUACAUAGCCGACCUGAGAGGGUGAUCGGCCACACUGGGACUGAGACACGGCCCAGACUCCUACGGGAGGCAGCAGUAGGGAAUCUUCGGCAAUGGACGGAAGUCUGACCGAGCAACGCCGCGUGAGUGAAGAAGGUUUUCGGAUCGUAAAGCUCUGUUGUUAGAGAAGAACGUUGGUAGGAGUGGAAAAUCUACCAAGUGACGGUAACUAACCAGAAAGGGACGGCUAACUACGUGCCAGCAGCCGCGGUAAUACGUAGGUCCCGAGCGUUGUCCGGAUUUAUUGGGCGUAAAGCGAGCGCAGGCGGUUCUUUAAGUCUGAAGUUAAAGGCAGUGGCUUAACCAUUGUACGCUUUGGAAACUGGAGGACUUGAGUGCAGAAGGGGAGAGUGGAAUUCCAUGUGUAGCGGUGAAAUGCGUAGAUAUAUGGAGGAACACCGGUGGCGAAAGCGGCUCUCUGGUCUGUAACUGACGCUGAGGCUCGAAAGCGUGGGGAGCAAACAGG